UUUGAACAAACUUAGUUAAGGUCUAUAAAAUUCAAAGAAUUUGGCGGUUAACUUAAUUUUUAGAGGAACCUGUAUUUUAAUUGAUAAACCACGUUAAUUUAUACCUUUAUUUUUAUUUGUAUAUCUCUAUAUAAUUAAAUGUUUUUAAAAUAUAUUUUUUUUUUGUAGGUAUCAUGCAAUUUAGGUCAAGGGGCAGUUUUAAUAAGGUUAAUAUGGGUUAUUAUAAUUUCAAAUAAAAAUUAAAAUUAUUUAUAAUAUUUUUAUCUUAAAUUUGGAUUUGUAAAUUCUUUAAAUUUAUUAUUUAUAUUGAAUAGU
rnacentral:rRNA from 1 species